rnacentral:lncRNA from 1 species
CUGUAUAUUCUCUAAAAUUUAUUUACAGUUAAUAAAUUAAAAAGUACAACCAGAUUGCAAAUCUUAAUCAUAUGCGCACAUCAAACUGUCCAAGAAAACAAUUCAGUUCCAUUACAAACAAUUGCCUUCUAAUGCACUUAAGACAUAACAGUCUACCAAAAUUAUUUUAAACACACCAACAAAGUAAAUAUUAUGUAUAUAUGUGCAUUAAAAAACACCAAUUUAAAGAGUGCUGUGGCAAUCCUUUAAAUAACGAAAAACUUCGGAGUUCAAAAUUGCUCGGGUUUUUUUUCAUAUUCAAAUAUUUUCCAUGUGUUUUUACGGAACAGUUUCCAGAAAAAUAGUACUAUUGUUUGCACACAGCAAAUCAGUAUGUGUCGGCCACCAGUUUAACUUACACCUGUCCAAUCAGGUACUCAAACUUGGACAAAAUAAAUACACACCACAACAGUGACACUUUGCACUAACAACAAUGAAGCUUGCCCUCAACCAUCGUAACGUUACUGGAUUCGGUAAAGAAAAAGAAGCUGCUGGUUGACAAGGAGGAGGAUAAUAAGGACAUUAGGAAUUGAAAAGGUUAUCUGAGGUGCCGGUCACCACAUUUAGGCACUCAAGACUAAAUAAAAGCAUAGCAAGGUGAUAAACUUCUUCCUCCUACUUUCCCCCUUUACUUGUGCCAUAUGAGAUAUAAAGGUAAGAGAAUGAAUAAAGAUUAUGGGAUUUCUUUCAAAAAAAAAAAAAAACUAUAUACAAGCUAAGCUACGGACUCACUUUAGAAGACAGUAACUGAAUGCCUCACCAUAAAGGCCACCGUGCCAAGUUCCUUUUCACAUUCUCCCCAAGCGUAUCCAUAAAAUACUUCCAUUCUCCUAUUAAUAUACUAAUCAACUAUAUUAGUUGUUUCUUCACAUUUUAUAAGUCGUAAAACAACUAACUUUAGCAAGGUUUUGCUAAAGACAACUUGGCAAAAAUAAAGAUUUUUUUACAUCUUAUUUCACAAACUAGAAAUGGCAUGAUUUUUUAACAGGCCAGAUAAAUAACAUAUUGAAUUUAGGAUGGGCAAUCAGAUCCAAACCGAAACCAGAUAGCCCAGAUAAUCCAAAGUAUUUAUGCAAGUUAAAGCGCACUAAAGUAAUGAGGAAGGCAUAAGAGGAAAAAAAAUAAGAUUCUCAGUUAAAAUAAAUGCAUGGUGUCAAUGGUUACGUUUCAAUUUUGUGCUGAGCAAAGUUAUCCUCCCAGCUACACCUAAUUUCAAAAUCAUCUGGGAACCUCUCUAGAUAGGCUAUAUGUUGAAAUUACAUUCUAAUAUGGCCAUUGGGUUUAUUUUUUUUACUUAUUAUAAAAUUAUAUACAAUAGUGAAGUGGUACAAAUACAUAUUCUUUUUCUCGGGUGCUAAUCAGCUAAAAAAGUUAACAAUUUGGGAAGAGGGGAGGAAAACCCUAUGCAUUUAAGUACAGUUGGCAAUGGAAGCUAAUAACCAAAAGAAUACAUAUAAGCUUCCUAUCACACAAAUAUAAUUUAACACUCUCCAUCUUCUAAGUAAUUAUUCACUUUUAUUUACUCAUGUGACAGUAUUUGUAACAACACAUUAUCAUUGAGUAGUGAAUAAAAGAAUAUGAGGCUUACUGGGAAACUGGCAUAAAGUCAUAUAUAUAUAUGUAUAUAUAUAUAUAGAUCUUUUUUUUUUUUUUACAAAACAAGAACACUGAAAUUAAAGUCACAAAACUGCUACUGUUAACUAUUAAACUUGAAAAAUUCAUUUCAGAAAGCUAUGCCAUUUGAAUUCUAAAAACACAAGAGUCAAAAUCGCAACUCUCAUUAUUCCCCUAAGAAGCUGCCAAGCAGAAAGAAACCUUGACAUUGAAGAUUUCAUAGGUCAUGUUCCAGACUGGUAUGGAUGGUUCCAUAGCAGAAUACUUAAAUUUGCAAUAACAGUGGUGCAAAGUCACUACUUGACCCUUUAGAUAUUGCAGUAAAAUCUGGCUGUGGCACCACUGGCUAAAAACCAUCAGUCUUGCUGCCACCAAUGACCAAAGGCACUUGGAUUAUCCAGAAUUCCACACUGGGCCAUAUGGUAUAAACACUAUUACAAAAGUGUAAAAGAAGGGUCAGUAUUCUGUGUGGCUCGCCUGUUCGAUUCCUGUGGUUUUCGGCUGUCAAACAAAAGACCAAUAACUGCAAACAUAAUUACGAAUGGAAAAGAAAAAAAAAAGUAAUAAAGGAAAAUUCAUGGCGUACAACGGUCAACGAAUUAUGAUGUUUUUAAGAGUGAUGGAUAGUAAUCUGGACAUUUCUUGUUAUCCAACAACAAAAGCAAGGAAGUUAAAUCUUAUUUUGCCCAAAGUCAACUUCGACCAGUUAUUUGAUACCAAGAAAUGCCUCACCCCUCUGGAUGGAUCAUGAAUACUUGAGAAUUCCAAUGGGUAUUCUGUGUAGCAUUUUAAUCGCAGCGUUUACACCUACUCAUUUUUCCUAUGCGAAUUCCAUUUUAAAAUAAAUUAUCCUUGAAAUGGUCCCAGGUCGGUAUGUGAGACGAGUACAAGGAGGCCAAAUCAUUUGCAGUCGGAUUCCAUCCAUCUCUUUAACCAACACCAGUUCUUUAGAAUCAUUCAUUCAUUCUUUUUUGUUUGUUUGUUUUCAAUCACAAGCCAUGUGGUUUCAGUGCACUUUAAAUUUUAUUCGAUUAAAAAGGAUUUAACAGGUCAACUUUUCCUAAACAAAACUUCACGAGUUUCUACCACUUUCCUUUAGGAGCUCAGUAAAUAUAAACAUUAAGUCUCAAUAUAAAAAAUCUUUUAGAAACACAUCAAAAAAAAAUGUUUUAACAGUCAUACUUUGCAUCUCUUUGUUUGUAGUCACUGAGCCCACGAAAUUCGAAGCCAUACAAAUCCUUACACUACUGACAGUCGUAGCUUGAAUUCCCUAGAAAAAUAUCCUUGGUCAAAGCUUUGGAAUCCAGUUGAAACGCGGAAACGAGUGGGAUUCAGAAUACCCUGAGCACAGACUGGUGCAACACCUCUGAAAACAUAGUCGAUCUUUCCUCCAGAAAGAGGGGUUGGCAGUCCCGACAAGAAAAAAAGAGGAAAAAAGAAAAAAAAAAAAAAAAGGUUGGGGUGGGAAGAGGUGGGGGGGGCGGGAAGGCCGAUGGAUGGACAGCCAAGUAAAUUCUAGCUUUAUUACACAAGCGCGAAACCAAAUUCCUUUGGGGAAAAAAAAAAAAAAAAAAAA